AUCUAAGUUUUUUCAGUUUUAUGUCAAACAGAUCUCAAAUCUCGGUUGAAUUGAACUCUACCGCAAACUGAAAGAACAAUAGAUUCAGGGGUGGCAUCGUUUUGAUUACUAAACUUGAUUAGGAUUUUGGAAACAUAAGCAGCCAUGAUAUUCUGACGGAAUUCUCUUAAAAAUUGAAAAAGCUAGGGCUUGAGAAAUCAAGGAAGGACUUAAGUUGCUGCCUUUGAUUUUUGAAGAUGAAGGAACGAAAUUAAUAGCAGUCGAAGAAUCACCGAAAUUAUAUGAGAUUUGGGUUUCAAUUCAAGCUUGGCUUAUGUAGAAUUUUUCAUUUGGAGCAGGGAUGUUCAUCAAGGUUAAACAGAGUUCAAUAAUGUCCGACAUUAUUCAAUUGAGAUUGCAAUUAGGUGCACAAUGGUAUUAAUUGAGGUUUAAUAAGGUUUCAAUUGGGGUUUUUGUCGGUUACAACUAUGAUUAAUAAUGAUAACAAGGUCAGUCAGGCUCAAUUAAUCCUCAUAAAAGGUUGGAUUUAAAAUAGCACUUUGGGGAAGAAGAUGAACUAUAGGUAGUACGAGACUGGAUCAACUUGGAAAUACACGGUUUUUCUGAAAGCAAAACCAUGGAAAGGAAAGAACAGGGAGGAAGACAACGUUGUUUUUUUUUGGGGUAAAUAUUCCGUGGAUUGGAAUCAUCUGGGAAAAGAGGAGAUGGAAAAGUUCCAUCCCAGACGAUCACGUUACAUGUAUGCCCCGAUCUGGGAAAAGAGGGUCCGUUCCAACUCGGCUGUUCCGACUCGGCUAGUCCGUUCCAACUCCAACUUUUGUCCUGUUCCAGCUUGCGGUGUUGGGACAUGCGCGAUCAAGUAUGUUCCAGUUCUGUCUAUGUACAGCGAGAACCAAAGCUUGAGGUAUGUAGCUAAUGAAACAUCUAUUGGGCUUAUUUAUUUGUUUGUAAAACAUUUUUUUUUUCUUAGAUAAGUCCAUAUUAUAUAAAGGGUCAAUUUCAGUUUUGAAUAUGAUAUUGGUUAUAGUUGAAUGAUGUUUUUUUUUUGUUUCAAUUGGUUGUACCGACUCGAUCUCAAUGUAUUCAUUUGGGGUUUAGAAGUACUUGAGAAUCAUUAUCACGUACUUGAUAUUUUCUCUCCAAAUUUGAAUGUUUUGUGGGAUGUAAUCCACUUGUUCGACUAUUAAAGAGUUGUA